GACGAACGCUGGCGGCGUGCUUAACACAUGCAAGUCGAACGGAAAGGCCCUGCUUUUGUGGGGUGCUCGAGUGGCGAACGGGUGAGUAACACGUGAGUAACCUGCCCUUGACUUUGGGAUAACUUCAGGAAACUGGGGCUAAUACCGGAUAGGAGCUCCUGCUGCAUGGUGGGGGUUGGAAAGUUUCGGCGGUUGGGGAUGGACUCGCGGCUUAUCAGCUUGUUGGUGGGGUAGUGGCUUACCAAGGCUUUGACGGGUAGCCGGCCUGAGAGGGUGACCGGCCACAUUGGGACUGAGAUACGGCCCAGACUCCUACGGGAGGCAGCAGUGGGGAAUAUUGCACAAUGGGCGGAAGCCUGAUGCAGCAACGCCGCGUGUGGGAUGACGGCCUUCGGGUUGUAAACCGCUUUCGCCUGUGACGAAGCGUGAGUGACGGUAAUGGGUAAAGAAGCAACGGCUAACUACGUG
rnacentral:rRNA from 1 species